CUUGGUUACAAAAUAUUUGAUGGGUUAAUCUCUCUAUCUGAAGUUUAUCUAGAAACAAAUAAUGGGGAGACUUCGCUAUAAAAUAGCAGGUCAGGAAAAAAAUCUUAUUUAAAAUUGUUUCUGUGUAAUUUUAAUUACGUAGGUAUUACGUUGUAAUUGCAGUAUAUGAGGUCAGAUUUUGGUUUGGGUUUAAUAGUAAUUUUAUUU